UAGUAAUCACAGGUCAGCAUACUGUGGUGAAUACGUUCCCGGGCCUUGUACACACCGCCCGUCACACCAUGAGAGUUGAGAAUACCCGAAGUCCAUGUCAAAGUGGCCGAAGGUAGGCUUGAUGAUUGGGGUGAAGUCGUAACAAGGUAGC
rnacentral:rRNA from 1 species